CGGGUUCAUCUCACUAAGGAGUGCCAGACAGUGGGCGCAGCCUCACCUAUGGAUGAAGCCACAGAAGAGGAAAUGCACUCUGAGGAGGACAAUCCUGAUCUACAUCAUUAACACAGCUGAGUGAGUUUGCUCCUAAUGGAGCACAUUUCAAGCAAGAGAUUUCCAGGGUAUCAUUCUGUCGUGCAGGCCGGAAUGCAGUUAUUUGAC